AUGCAAGUCGAACGGCAGCGCAGGGUAGCAAUCCUGGCGGCGAGUGGCGAACGGGUGAGUAAUACAUCGGAACGUGCCCAAUCGUGGGGGAUAACGCAGCGAAAGCUGUGCUAAUACCGCAUACGAUCUACGGAUGAAAGCAGGGGAUCGCAAGACCUUGCGCGAAUGGAGCGGCCGAUGGCAGAUUAGGUAGUUGGUGAGGUAAAGGCUCACCAAGCCUUCGAUCUGUAGCUGGUCUGAGAGGACGACCAGCCACACUGGGACUGAGACACGGCCCAGACUCCUACGGGAGGCAGCAGUGGGGAAUUUUGGACGAUGGGCGAAAGCCUGAUCCAGCCAUGCCGCGUGCAGGAUGAAGGCCUUCGGGUUGUAAACUGCUUUUGUACGGAACGAAACGGUCUUUUCUAAUACAGAAGGCUAAUGACGGUACCGUAAGAAUAAGCACCGGCUAACUACGUGCCAGCAGCCGCGGUAAUACGUAGGGUGCAAGCGUUAAUCGGAAUUACUGGGCGUAAAGCGUGCGCAGGCGGUUAUGUAAGACAGUUGUGAAAUCCCCGGGCUCAACCUGGGAACUGCAUCUGUGACUGCAUAGCUAGAGUACGGUAGAGGGGGAUGGAAUUCCGCGUGUAGCAGUGAAAUGCGUAGAUAUGCGGAGGAACACCGAUGGCGAAGGCAAUCCCCUGGACCUGUACUGACGCUCAUGCACGAAAGCGUGGGGAGCAAACAGGAUUAGAUACCCUGGUAGUCCACGCCCUAAACGAUGUCAACUGGGUUGUUGGGUCUUCACUGACUCGGUAGCGAAGCUAACGCGUGAAGUUGACCGCCUGGGGAGUACGGCCGCGAGGUUGAUACUCGGAGUAAUUGACGGGCACCCGCACAGCGGGGAUGGAGGUGGAUUACUUCGAUGCACCGCGAAACAUCCUUAGCCACCUUUGACAUGAACGGAAUUCGCCAGAGAUGACUUAGUGCUCGAAAGA
rnacentral:rRNA from 1 species